AGCUAGCACUUUGGCUAGCAGCAGCAGCAGCAGCAGCAGCAGCAGCGAUAGCGAUGACCGGGCGUGAACUUGUCGUGUAGUUGCCUCACAACUUUACUGAGAGUAGAAAACUAAACUCAAGCGGCUGCAGCUUCCCUUUAGUCAGGGGAAAUAAGGAAGUGAACAGCUAACUGAAUUCCAUUUUUUUUUGCCGGACAAGCAAAAUGGUGCACAGAUGUUGACCCUGGAGUUUCCUGUGUGAAGAACUGGGUCAUGUUAUCUCUCAGAGCCAGACCUCCUCUGUCCUGACACAAGGAGUUUUGCAACCAGGAUCUUGACUUUCUACCUCAACAUACGUGGAGUCCACUCCCUGUGUUCUACCUCUUAGGACAUCCACGGCUCUUUUUCUACCUCAACAAAUACUGUACGCACACAGAAGCACGUAGCUGUUAUCAGCCAGCUCAGAAACACCAACAGACCCUUCACUCUAUCACCAGGCUCUCAGGCGCCAGUCAUCUAGCGACGUCGUAACAAAGUACAUUGGGAUUCUUCCUGCUUUGCUGUCAUAAUCGCUAUCUGGGGAGGAGCCAACGCGAAGCAGCCAUGUUUCACAGGGGUUUGUGAUGUCCGAGACCUGCGACGGACCAGGAACAGGACCAGGACUAGGGGAAGGACAAGGGCGGGGUGACAUAGAUGUUCCUAGGUUUGUGGUUGGCUGUGGGGAUGACGAGCAGGACAUGGGCCAAAUGGAGGCAGGCAUGAGGAAUGAGAUGUAUCGAGAUGAGGAAAUGGAGGGCGAUGAAGAUGAGUCGCCACCAGAGCGUCAGAUUGUGGUCGGCAUAUGUGCCAUGAUGAAGAAGUCCAAAUCCAAGCCCAUGACUGAGAUCCUGGAGCGCCUUUGUAAGUUUGACUACAUCAAUAUGGUCAUCUUUCCAGAGGAGGUGAUCCUAGAGGAACCUGUAGAGAAGUGGCCCCUCUGCGACUGCCUGAUCUCCUUCCACUCCAAAGGUUUCCCUCUGGACAAAGCUGUGGAGUAUGCCAAGCUCAGGAAUCCACUGCUCAUCAAUGACCUCAACAUGCAGUAUUUCAUACAGGACAGGAGAGAAGUGUACCGGAUCUUACAGGAAGAAGGCAUUGACCUGCCUCGUUAUGCUGUGUUAAACCGAGACCCCGACAAUCCUGAGGAGUGUAACCUGGUGGAAGCAGAGGACCAUGUUGAGGUAAACGGGGAGGUGUUCCCUAAACCCUUCGUGGAGAAACCUGUGUGUGCCGAGGACCACAAUGUGUACAUCUAUUACCCAACGUCUGCUGGAGGGGGCAGCCAGAGACUCUUCAGAAAGAUAGGGAGUCGUAGCAGUGUGUACUCCCCAGAAAGCAGCGUACGAAAGACUGGAUCCUACAUCUACGAGGAGUUCAUGCCCACAGAUGGUACUGAUGUCAAGGUUUACACAGUGGGUCCAGACUACGCCCACGCGGAGGCCCGGAAAUCUCCUGCACUGGACGGAAAGGUAGAGAGGGACAGUGAGGGGAAGGAGAUCCGCUACCCCGUCAUGCUGACUGCCAUGGAGAAACUGGUGGCCCGCAAGGUCUGCCUGGCCUUUAAGCAAACCGUGUGUGGGUUCGACCUGCUCAGAGCCAACGGCCACUCCUACGUCUGUGACGUUAACGGCUUCAGCUUCGUCAAAAACUCCAUGAAGUACUACGACGACUGUGCCAAAGUCCUGGGCAACAUGGUGAUGAGGGAGUUGGCCCCCCAGUUCCACAUCCCCUGGUCCAUCCCCAUGGAAGCUGAAGACAUCCCAAUCGUCCCAACAACCUCAGGAACCAUGAUGGAGCUGCGCUGUGUUAUUGCCAUUAUCCGCCAUGGAGAUCGCACACCAAAGCAAAAGAUGAAAAUGGAGGUCCGACAUCCUCUAUUCUUUGAGUUAUUUGAGAAGUACGGAGGCUACAAGUCAGGAAAACUAAAACUGAAGAAGCCAAAACAGCUACAAGAAGUGCUGGAUAUCGCCCGCCUGCUGCUGGUUGAACUGGUCGAGCACAACGACUGCGAGAUCGAGGAGAAGAAAUCUAAACUGGAGCAACUCAAGACAGUCUUGGAGAUCAGUCACCCACUCUCAUCAAAACUAGCUUCAUCUUUCAACACUCGACAAAGGUACGGUCAUUUCUCAGGCAUCAACAGGAAAGUUCAGCUGACCUACCUGCGUAACGGCCAACCUAAAGCAUCCAGCGAAGAAGAAGAUUCUAAGAAGGACGGCCCAUCUCUGCUGCUGGUGUUGAAGUGGGGCGGGGAGCUGACGCCUGCAGGCCGGGUUCAGGCUGAGGAGCUGGGCAGGGCCUUUCGCUGCAUGUACCCUGGAGGUCAAGCCGGUAACCGCCGGUCCCCUGGCUGUGAGUCCCCUGACUUUGGUGACUAUGCUGGGUUCCCAGGCUGUGGCCUCCUGCGCCUGCACAGCACUUACCGCCACGACCUGAAGAUCUACGCCUCUGACGAAGGCAGGGUGCAGAUGACAGCCGCUGCUUUCGCGAAGGGUCUGCUGGCUCUAGAAGGGGAGUUGACUCCGAUCCUGGUUCAGAUGGUGAAGAGUGCCAACAUGAACGGACUGCUGGACAGCGACAGCGACUCUCUGACUGACUGCCAACAGAAGGUGAAGGCAAGGCUGCAUGAAAUCAUGCAGAAGGGCCAGGAGUUUACACAGGACGACUAUCAGAAGUUGGCACCAACUGGCAGCCCGUCGCUGGUGAACUCAAUGAAGGUCAUACAGGAUCCAGUCAAAACCUGUGAUAAGGUGUACGCCCUCAUCCAGAGUCUGAAUUCACAGAUCCGCAAGAGACUGGAAGACCCCAAGUCUGCAGACCUUCAGCUUUACCACAGCGAGACGUUGGAGCUGAUGCUGCAGCGCUGGUCCAAACUGGAGAGAGACUUUCGCAUGAAGAACGGCCGCUACGACAUCAGCAAGAUCCCGGACAUCUACGACUGUAUCAAAUACGACUCGCAGCACAACGCCUCACUUGGACUGGAGGACACGCUGGAGCUGUUCAGACUGUCCCGCGCCCUGGCUGACAUAGUCAUACCACAGGAGUACGGCAUCACCAAAGACGAGAAACUGGACAUCGCUCAGGCUUACUGUGUUCCUUUGAUGAAAAAAAUCCAGCUGGACCUGCAGAGGACCCAUGAGGACGAGGCUGUUAACAAGCUGCACCCUCUGUAUUCUCGUGGCAUAAUGUCUCCUGGCCGUCAUGUCCGCACACGACUCUACUUCACCAGUGAGAGCCACGUCCACUCCCUGCUCAGCGUCUUCCGAUAUGGAGGACUGCUGGAUGAUGAGAAGGACCAGCAGUGGAAACAGGCCAUGGACUACCUGAGUGCUGUAAAUGAACUCAACUACAUGACACAGAUAGUCAUUAUGCUGUAUGAAGACAACAAUAAGGAGCCCUCCUCAGAGGAGCGUUUCCAUGUCGAGCUUCACUUCAGUCCAGGAGUCAAAGGGUGUGAAGAUGAGGAGAAUGUACCUCUUGGCUUCGGCUUCCGCCCAGCCUCCUCUGAGAAUCAAGACAAAAAGCCCAAUCAAGGAAGUCUGGAGGACCUUUCCCAGGACCAGCCAGAUCAGGCACUUCCCCUCUCUGAGGCAAUCAACAUCCAGCGAAGGUCCCCCAUGAUCCGCAACCGCAAGACGGGCUCCAUGGAGGUCCUCUCUGAAACCUCUCCCACCCAGUCCUCCAAAGGCUGCACAUCUCACCGACUCUUCCCCUCGUGUUCGCGCCAGUCUCCUGAGAUCAAACCAGCCAGUGGCCUAGGGUCGCUCUGCUCUGGCCUCUUCAGUGCCUCCGCCCUUGGGGUGUCCUGUAGCGCCCCCAACCUGCGAGACUACGUACGCACGCACCACCACCUCCACCGAAAACCACCUCUGUCCCCCGGCAGUCUGCCGUGCCAGAUUAGCAUGUUCGUGUACUGCAGGGCACUGAUUUGACGGCAGAGUGAUAGGCUGUGCAGCCAAUGCUGAGCACGCAACCUGACACUGGACUGGACUAUGUCAUGUACCACAACUAUCGGUGAUCAAUGUUCUCCCAGAUCAGCAUGUCCACUUACUGAUACGCUUACUUACACGGCUGUCUGCUUGGGUUUGAGCGUGUAGAAAUUCUCUCUAUCUCGCUCUCUCUGUGCAUGUUGUUUUGCAGUGCUACCAUAUCCUCUCUCAGGGGAUUUCAUUUCUUAAUCCACCGUAAAGUAGUUUUUGUGUUUGGAAGCCAGAAGUCUGGCUUUUUUCAUUAAUCACAAUUUACGGUAAUCCUUACAUUAAGAAACUCAGCCUGUUAUUUGGAAAAGAUAUAUUUUCAAGACCCAAUAAUCCACCUUUAAAUAAUUCCCAGUCCCAGUUCUCCCUCCCCACCCUUUUCCCCUCAGUCUCAUAUUGGAAAUGGUGAGUACAAGCAAGCUGUUUUUACAGCCACCAGGGGUCCUUAUAGCAGGUUCAAUUAUCCCAAACAUCUGGAUUUGAUAUCAUUUUCAUGGUCACAGCUGCUUUAGUUAUAUAUAUUUGUGUCACAUUUUCAAAGCUAUGUCACAUCCUCGGGUUAAAUCAGCAGCAGAUAAUUCUACUCUACACAAACUGCAGGAAUAUAUUGUUUCCCCCCACUGCAGGUUUUAAACACAGGAAACUGAGCUGUUCAGUUUAUCCACCAGGUGUCACUCUGACUGCAAGGCUACACACUGCCAGGAGCAAACCGAUGCUUUCCUCUCGCAAAUUCUGUUACAUCAUGUUUUCCUCUCUGAGAGACGGGAGGGUUUGGACUGACGUCAAUGCUGCUCAUUGAAGGGAAGCGAGCGCUGCAUCAGAACAACAGAUUAUUCUGUUAACGGGAAAUGUGAAUGGAAGUGUACUGGUUUGAACUCAGACCUUAAAACAAUCAGUGUUGGUGAGGAGUGUACUUUAGAGCAACCUUUAUUGUCUCAUGUACCCCCACAGCAGAUGAGUUCAAAUACCCCUUCAUCAACACCACCCGUCAUGUUCCAAAUGUGUUCUUUUGAAUGGAUUUAAAACUUGAUGUAAUUUACCACUAUUAAUUAUAUAAAAUUGGAUAUUCUUACAAUGAUUUAGUGAUCUUGGAUCCUGGAAAAGAGAUCAAGCCUAAACUUCUGUUUUUUAUCCCCAUUAGGUUUGGUCAAGUUUGCAUUGCUAUUAUUACUGUACCACUUAAAGUUGCAGAAGCUCGUUGUUUCAACUGCAGUUCUCUUCAAAUGUACGGAGCAUUUUGACAUCUUUCAGCUGAUUGUUUAGCUGUCCAGCCGCAACUUUACUGUUCUGAGCCAGAUAGGAGUUGGUAGAGUUCAAAACCAGAGCUAAAAGAGAGUCAAUAUUGAUUGGACCUAUAUUGGUAUGGAUUAAAC